rnacentral:rRNA from 1 species
CUGGGCGUAAGCGUGCGCAGGCGGUUUUGUAAGACAGGCGUGAAAUCCCCGGGCUCAACCUGGGAACUGCGCUUGUGACUGCAAGGCUAGAGUACGGCAGAGGGGGGUGGAAUUCCACGUGUAGCAGUGAAAUGCGUAGAGAUGUGGAGGAACACCAAUGGCGAAGGCAGCCCCCUGGGUCGAUACUGACGCUCAUGCACGAAAGCGUGGGUAGCAAACAGGAUUAGAUACCCUGGUAGUCCACGCCCUAAACGAUGUCAACUAGGUGUUGGGUGGGUAAAACCAUUUAGUACCGGAGCUAACGCGUGAAGUUGACCGCCUGGGGAGUACGGCCGCAAGGUUAAAACUCAAAGGAAUUGACGGGGACCCGCACAAGCGGUGGAUGAUGUGGAUUAAUUCGAUGCAACGCGAAAAACCUUACCUACCCUUGACAUGUCCAGAACCCCUGAGAGAUUGGGGGGUGCCCGAAAGGGAGCUGGAACACAGGUGCUGCAUGGCUGUCGUCAGCUCGUGUCGUGAGAUGUUGGGUUAAGUCCCGCAACGAGCGCAACCCUUGUCGUUAAUUGCCAUCAUUUAGUUGGGCACUUUAACGAGACUGCCGGUGACAAACCGGAGGAAGGUGGGGAUGACGUCAAGUCCUCAUGGCCCUUAUGGGUAGGGCUUCACACGUCAUACAAUGGUCGGUACAGAGGGUUGCCAAGCCGCGAGGUGGAGCCAAUCCCAGAAAGCCGAUCGUAGUCCGGAUUGCAGGCUGCAACUCGCCUGCAUGAAGUCGGAGUUGCUAGUAAUC